rnacentral:rRNA from 1 species
CCUACGGGAGGCAGCAGUGAGGAAUAUUGGUCAAUGGACGAGAGUCUGAACCAGCCAAGUAGCGUGAAGGAUGACUGCCCUAUGGGUUGUAAACUUCUUUUAUAUGGGAAUAAAAUGUUCCACGUGUGGGAUUUUGUAUGUACCAUAUGAAUAAGGAUCGGCUAACUCCGUGCCAGCAGCCGCGGUAAUACGGAGGAUCCGAGCGUUAUCCGGAUUUAUUGGGUUUAAAGGGAGCGUAGGUGGAUUGUUAAGUCAGGUGUGAAAGUUUGCGGCUCAACCGUAAAAUUGCAGUUGAAACUGGCAGUCUUGAGUACAGGAGAGGUGGGCGGAAUUCGUGGUGUAGCGGUGAAAUGCUUAGAUAUCACGAAGAACUCCGAUUGCGAAGGCAGUUCACUGGACUGCAACUGACACUGAGGCUCGAAAGUGUGGGUAUCAAACAGGAUUAGAUACCCGAGUAGUC